rnacentral:misc_RNA from 1 species
AAGUCGUAACAAGGUUUCCGUAGGUGAACCUGCGGAAGGAUCAUUAACAAAUCAUCAUAGUCGUGCGCUCCGGCGCACCACUAUAUACACCCCAAGCCUGGGAAGAGCAGCAAUGCUUGGACCGGCUUUGGUUGCAGCCCUCGGGCUGUAGGCUAGGGCGCCGCAAGGCAAACUAGCCACAUAGACGCUUGCUUUAGGUUUGACAGAGUUUAGUUGCAUCAUCAAAAAAUACAACUUUUAACAAUGGAUCUCUUGGCUCUU